AAACAGAUGAACACAUUGAGGUUCCUGCCUUUGGUGAGAAGCUGUGGAGAAAAUUUUGAGAAGAUGCACUAUAUAUCUACGUGCUCUCUUCUUCCCAGCUACAACGUGGGUCUGUGCUCGCCUUCUCUGAGCCCUAAGACUGCCUACCUCCCUAACAGCUUUUCACAGGACAGGGAGUGUCACCAAUGGCAGCUAUAUGAAAAUCUCCACACAGGGAUUAGAGACUGCUUUCAAGAUGCUGCCCCCCCCACCCCUGCACACCUGUCCAGGUGGCUGUAUUUGCUGGAACACCGGGCCUGCUUCUAUAAAUUUGAGGUCACCAGCAUGCCUGUGAGAUCCUCAGCUGUAGCAAAAAUAUUGGAGGCUAUGGUUUCCAGAAAGAAUCAAGAAUCAAGCAGGUACUUCAUGGUCACAGCAGGUAUGGACAGAACCCCAGGGGUCUGCCCUUGAUGAACUCAUGAUCUCUAAUAACCAACUUCUGGAUGCUGGGUGACCUGCAUUUGGGGUGGGGUGGCA
rnacentral:lncRNA from 1 species